rnacentral:rRNA from 1 species
AUUGAACGCUGGCGGCACGCCUAACACAUGCAAGUCGAGCGGCAGCGAGACUAGUAGCAAUACUAGUUGUCGGCGAGCGGCGGACGGGUGAGUAACACGUAGGAAUCUGCCCUUAAGCGGGGGAUAACCAAGGGAAACUUUGGCUAAUACCGCAUAAUCUCGAGAGAGCAAAGCUGCCCGCACGGGUGGCACUUGCGGAGGAGCCUGCGUCCGAUUAGCUAGUUGGUGGGGUAAUGGCCUACCAAGGCGAUGAUCGGUAACUGGUCUGAGAGGACGACCAGUCACACUGGGACUGAGACACGGCCCAGACUCCUACGGGAGGCAGCAGUGGGGAAUAUUGGACAAUGGGGGCAACCCUGAUCCAGCGAUGCCGCGUGAGUGAAGAAGGCCUUCGGGUCGUAAAGCUCUUUAGGUUGGGAAGAAGGGUAUUGGCUGAAUAAUCCAGUACUUUGACGGUACCGACAGAAUAAGCACCGGCAAACUCUGUGCCAGCCGCCGCGGUAAGAC